GCGACUUACGUGCUCAUCGCCAACGUGCGGGAAUUUUUGUGGUCGGGGUUAGGGUUCUAGGCUGCGGUGGAGAUCGAGGCCCUUGGAUCGCUUUUCCAUGGCCCGUGGGAGAAGAGGUAGCUCUCGGGUGACGGUUUUCUCUGGAAUGUAGCUGCUGUUUUGUUGAUUUUGGGAAGAAUGUACCCUUUUCCUGUGGGAUGCAGAGCUCUGCGAGGAAGGGAGGCGAGGCAUACGCGAUGGCAAUCCGAGAGGAUAAGCUGGGGCCUUUGUUUGCGGUACGCUGCGGGGAGAUUGAAAGCACGGGUGGGAAGCGAUGAUGAAAAUUCAGCAUCCAGGAACUCGUUCUCUUGGAGUCAAUGGCGAGGAGGCAAUUGUUCUUUUCUUGUCGUUGUCUCCGCGGCAAAAAAAAAAAGUUCUAUCUGGGCAGAUGGUUGGCCUUGCGGAUCCUGUUGUGCAGUAUCUCCUACGUGAACUAGUUUCUGCUUCAUCGAAAAAAGAUGAGACAGAAGUCAAUGUGCAAAGUUCGCCCAGCGCUCGUUCUCCAGACUUGUUUCGUUCUUCAGUGAUUCGGGAAGGAAAUAAGAAGCAAGCGUUAUCUCUGCGGCCAGGAGACAAGGGUGUGAGGUCGUCUCAACGACAGAAAACAGACAGGAACUCGCAAGAGCGUCACAGUGCAGAAGAUUCUUGUCUAGAAAAUGUUUAUGUCUCGGAUUCGGAACCAGAGCUGGAACCGAAGAUUGUGCCCGAUACUCUGGAGGAACAUCACAUGAGGAGCUGGAGUCUAAGAUUGUGGCCGAUACUCUGGAGGUACUUCACGUGAGAGGAAGAACAUAAUUCACCAAAUCUAGAGCUAACAAUCGGCACCAGUCAGCAGUCAUUGCUGGGAUCCAACGCAGAAGAAAAUCAAAACAACUCGGACUUGUUUGCCAGCAUGAUAUCUCUGCUACUUCCAAAUGCCGAACGUGAUCCGAAGGCCGAACAUUUUGCGACUGCCGCAAUGAGAUGCCUUUUGAUAACAGGAGCUCUUUCUUUAGUCGCUGCUGGAGAUGAAGGUUGUAUCAAAGAAUGGCGCAUGGAUCCGUCUUGGAGGCAUUCUUUGUAUGAAGCAGAUCUCCCUCCUGCAAGAUAUAACCCCAAGACUUUCUGGAGCAUUUUAAAGCUAGAAAUCGUUCCUCAAGCACCUCACCUUGUUCUUGGAUGUGACAUGGAUGGCUACGGUGCAAUCUGGAAUAUCUCCAAAAAGCAGCUACUUUCUUCAUGCCACAACUUUUUCAGACAGCACCAGAUGCUUGAGAUCCUGGAUUCUACUCUCGCAACUCGGAAAUGCUGUCUGGGAUGUUUGUGAUGCCCAUCCUCACCACGUCGAUCGUGCCACAUAACAUACGCCGCGUGCUUCCCACUUCCGGAAUCCAAACCUUCAAGGGGGCUGAUCACGAUGAGGCACAGGACAUAGGCGAAUUGGUCAUCUGGCACUCUUGAAGUUUUUGUGGAUUCCUGGUCUUGAAGAGAUAUUUUCCAUAGCGCUGCUGCUGCGACCAUGGUCAUGAACAAAACAAGCAUGGCUGCCAUAGAUCAAACUUGCUAAAGUAUUUGAAAUGCUUCUCGCUCUUCUUGAAUGCUCCUAGCCGUUCAUUUAUGGAGAGAUCCUGGUCAUUGAUUUAUGGAGCGUUGAUUUAUGGAGGGAUCUGGACCGUUCAAGAAUAUUAAUUUACUCUCGACCGUCCAUUUUUUAUAAAGACGCAUUCCUGUCCGUUGAUUUA